GGGGGUGUGGGGUGGUGUUUUCUGAACUGCGAGAUCUUUGUAUUACCAGGGCAAAGAGGCAUCAAGAUACAGCGUAUCCGAAUCUCAACUGGAGUAUUUCCUACCCAGUCUAGGGGAAGAGAUAUCUCGAAACAUCAUUCUAACUCAACCAAAGAAAACUCAACACAUACAAAGGAAGACAAGAGGGCCUGAAUUAGCCUUUACGACAGCAUCAAUCUCCCAAUGAACAACCUUACGAGGAUGGCAAAACGCGUUGAAUAGGUUGGCACAAUCAGAUUCGACAUCGAAUGAUCUGCCCUUUCAUGAAUGAAAUGUCCGACCCACCUCCUCAAUCCCUCAUUACUCCCUCGCUAUUUCCGCUCACUUCUCCGCUUAUGCGCUCGCCAGUCCUCUCUCUCCACAGCCAAGAAACUCCACGCCAUUAUUCUCACCACCGGCAUCGCCACCAACCCCAACACCUUUCUCCUCAAUGCCCUCCUGCACGUGUAUGCGCGUUGCGGCAUUCCGCGUAAUGCAUGCCACCUGUUCAGCCAAAUUCCCCAAUCACACAAAGACAUCGCCGAUUGGACCUCCCUCUUAACCUGUCUUACAAAACACGGCGCCACCCCUGCAGAUGGGUUUUCUUUGUUUAAAGAAAUGCGCAGAGAAGGCCUUGUCCUUGAUGAUGUAGCAUUGGUUUGCAUGUCUAGUUUGUGUGCUCGUUUGGGGGAUUUAGAGAUGGGGAGGCAAGCGCAUGGAUGUCUGGUGAAAACGGGCUUAGGAUUUAGUGUUAAGACAUCUAAUGCACUGAUAAAUAUGUACGUGAAAUGUGGAUUAAUGGGUGAGGCAAGAAGAGUUUUUAGUGAGAUGGAUGAGCGAAAUGUAGUUUCAUGGAGUGUAUUAUUGGAGGGAGUGGUGAAUUGUGAGGGGGUGAAGAAUGGCAGGGUGGUGUUUGAUCAGAUGCCUGUGAGAAAUGAGGUUGGUUGGACCGUAAUGAUUGCGGGGUAUGUGGGAAGUGGGUUUUGUAAAGAGGGGUUUUUUCUUCUAUCUGAAAUGGUUUUGGGGUUUAGGUUAGAGUUGAAUUAUGUCACUCUUUGUUCAAUUUUAUCUGCUUGUGCACGGUCGGGGGACGUGGUAAUGGGGAGGUGGGUUCAUGUUUAUGCUUUGAAGACAAUGGGAAGGGAGAUGGAUAUCAUGGUGGGCACGGCUUUGGUGGACAUGUAUGCAAAGUGUGGUCGGAUAAACAUGGCAUAUGAAGUUUUCAAGUACCUACCAGAAAGGAAUGUGGUGGCGUGGAAUGCAAUUCUUUGUGGUUUGGCAAUGCAUGGAAAAGGUAAAAUUGUAUUGGAUGUAUUUCCCAACAUGGUUCGAGAAGCUAAGCCAGAUGAUUUAACCUUUAUGGCUGUGCUAAGUGCUUGCAGUCACUCCGGUUUAGUUGAUGAAGGUCGUCAUUACUUUCAUAACCUUGAAUCCGAGUAUGAUGUAACACCUAAAAUCGAACACUAUGCUUGUAUGGUGGAUCUUCUGGGUCGGGCUGGUUGUUUAGAAGAAGCAGAGAUUUUGAUCAAGAAGAUGCCAAUGCCUCUGAAUGAGGUUGUUCUGGGAUCCCUUUUGGGUUCUUGCAAUGUCCACGGAAAGCUACAACUUGGUGAGCAAAUUCUGCAGGAGCUGUCUCAGUUGGAUCCACAAAAUACUGGAUAUCACAUAUUGCUUUCAAAUAUGUAUGCUCUUGCAGGAAAGCAAGACAAGGCUAUUUCCCUUCGACAGGUCCUUAAAAGCAAGGGGUUCAAAAAGGUGCCAGGAAGGAGUUCCAUUCAUGUUGAUGGUCAAGUUCACCAGUUCAUCUCUGGGGACAAAUUACAUCCUCAAAUGCUGGAGAUUUACCUGACCCUGGAUGAUAUGAUUCGAAGAUUGAGAUUGGCUGGUUAUGUCCCUAAUACUACCUCACAAGUUUUCUCUGGUUGUGAUGGGAGAGAGGGUAACACAGAGGAGAUGGAGGAGAAGGAACAGGCAUUAUUCUCCCACAGUGAGAAGCUGGCCGUCUGUUUUGGGCUCAUAAGCACGAGACCUGGGUCGCCUCUUUAUAUAUUCAAGAAUCUACGCAUGUGCCAGGAUUGUCAUUCUGCUAUUAAAAUUGCUUCUGAGAUAUACAACAGAGAAAUAGUUGUGAGGGAUCGCAAUCGUUUUCAUUGUUUCAAGCAGGGUUCGUGUUCUUGUUCUGAUUAUUGGUGAACACAGCUGUAAUAUCUACAUAAUUAAACAGUUAAAAUUCGUGUUAACGUUCUUGCACCAGAUAAUAAGAUCUUGGUCAAUUUUUGUCCCCUCGCUUUUAGUUCUGCAUUAACACAGCAAGGGAACAAUCAACCGGGGCAAAGGUCUAGUUUGUCUUCAUGAAUGUAAGGCAUGACUUCUGAUCCAUGAUACUGUAUUUAUAUAUAUAACUUUUGUAGUCAUUAAGAAAUUCUUUUUUAGUCCUCUUAACAAGAGUCA
rnacentral:misc_RNA from 1 species